AAACAUGAGUGUGAUCUGCGUCCUCAUCUGGACUCUCCUCUGCUGCUGCUUCACAGAGUCCAGAGGACAGGUCACAGUGACUCAGCCUGGAGCAGUGAGCUCCAAUGUGGGAGGAUCUGUCUCCAUCUCAUGUAGAACCAGUCAGGAUGUUUAUACCAACAACCAUUUAGCCUGGUAUCAACAGAAAGAUGGAGAAACUCCUAAACUACUAUUUCAAUAUGUUGGCAGCAGAGUAUCCGGAACUCCAACUCGUUUUUCAGAUGGUGGAUCAAACUCUGAUUUCACUCUGACCAUCAGUGGAGUUCAGGCUGAAGAUUCAGCAGUUUAUUACUGUCAGAGUGUUCACUACAUCAACAGUCAGUGGACGUUCACACAGUGAAAAACAGUCGUACAAAAACCUCCCUCAUUCAGUCUGAACAGAAACUGAACUGACUGCUGCAGCUGGAAGAUGCUGCAGACAGUGAUACAGUUCACUGAACAUCCAUUCUAAUAAAUACAGA